rnacentral:rRNA from 1 species
CGUCGUUCCCUUCGGGGUUCGGGGUCCGCGGUCGUUGGGGACAUGGGCCUGAUAGGCAAACGAACGAGGGUGACACGGAAUAGGAGGCGGGCGCGGCGGUGGUUGUCCGUGGUAAAGCACGCAGCCCGUCCCAUAGGCAAAUCCGUGGGGCAUGUAGGGUGAGGUGUGAUGAUGGGCGUCUUUAUGGCGCGAUAUCCGGUGGUCCAGGCCGUCGAGAAAAGCCUCGGCGCGAGGGGCGUCGCCGCCCGUACCCCAAACCGACACUGGUGGUCAGGUAGAGAAUACCAAGGCGAUCGAGCGAAUCCUGGUCAAGGAACUCGGCAAAUCACUCCCGUGCCUUCGGUAUAAGGGAGACCCCCGGGCGUGAAGAGGCUUGCCCUCGGAGCGUUGGGGGGUGGCACAGACCAGGGGGUAGCGACUGUUUACCAAAAACACAGGUGCAUGCGAAGGCGCAAGCCGCUGUAUAUGCACUGACGCCUGCCCGGUGCCGGAAGGUUAAGAGGAUCCGUCAGCCCCUUUUGGGGUGAAGCGGUGAAUUCAAGCCCCGGUAAACGGCGGUGGUAACUAUAACCAUCCUAAGGUAGCGAAAUUCCUUGUCGGGUAAGUUCCGACCUGCACGAAUGGCGUAACGACUUCCCCACUGUCUCGACCAGGAGCUCGGCGAAAUUGCAGUACGAGUAAAGAUGCUCGUUAAGCGCAGAAGGACGAAAAGACCCCGGGACCUUUACUAUACCUUGGUAUUGGCGUUAGGCGCGGAUUGUGUAGCAUAGGCGGGAGGCUUCGAAGCGCGGGCGCCAGCCCGUGUGGAGCCGCAAGGUGAAAUACCGCUCUGUUCUCGUUUGACGUCUCACCUCGAACAGUCAUCCUGUUCAGGGACAGUGCCUGGCGGGUAGUUUAACUGGGGCGGUUGCCUCCCAAAGAGUAACGGAGGCGCUCAAAGGUCCGCUCAGCCCGGUUGGCAAUCGGGUUUCGAGUGUAAUCGCACAAGCGGGCUUGACUGCGAGAACGACGGUUCGGGCAGGGACGAAAGUCGGAGAUAGUGAUCCGGUGCCGGCGCACGGGCGCGGCAUCGCUCAACGGAUAAAAGGUACCCCGGGGAUAACAGGCUGAUCAUUCCCAAGAGUCCAUAUCGACGGGAUGGUUUGGCACCUCGAUGUCGGCUCGUCGCAUCCUGGGGCUGGAGCAGGUCCCAAGGGUUCGGCUGUUCGCCGAUUAAAGCGGCACGCGAGCUGGGUUCAGAACGUCGUGAGACAGUUUGGUCUCUAUCCUCUGCGCUCGUUGGAAUCCUGAGGAGGCCUGCCCAUAGUACGAGAGGACCUGGGUGGACGGACCUCUGGUAUGCCGGUUGUCGCGCCAGCGGCAUGGCCGGUUGGCUACGUUCGGGAGGGAUAACCGCUGAAAGCAUCUAAGCGGGAAGCCUGCUCCAAGAUUAGGAUUCCUUGACGCUCCCCGGAGCGCCUGUAGCCCGCAUGUUGAACACGUGUUCGAUAGGCCGGAGGUGGAAGCCCCGCGAGGGGUGGAGCCGACCGGUACUAACGGGCGAACGCGGCACACU